rnacentral:Y_RNA from 1 species
GGCUGGUCCGAUGGUAGUGGGUUAUCGGAACUUAUUAACAUUAGUGUCACUAAAGUUGGUAUACAACCCCCCACUGCUAAAUUUGACUGGCUUAAA